GAGGUACACACAAUUUCUAGAGAGAGAUAAUUUUAAGAGAGAGAAAAGAAGUCUAGGGGUGAAGAACCUUGGGAGACACACUGCCCUCAGUUUCCAAAACCAGCAACUUGCAUGUCAGCAACCCCACUUGAAUUUGGAAUUCACUGAACCCAACCCAACCUCUACUCUCUCUCUCUCUCUGCUUAAUAAUAACAAUAGUAAUGAUAAUUAUUCAAAUACAGUGUAACAACCCAAGACUCAUCAAAAUUCAUCUUUUUUCAAAAGGAGGCUUUUGAAUAUAUAAGAGAUCUCUGAGAGGAAGAGUUUGGGAGGGGGGUUGAAAUUUAGGGGCUGAGAUGCAAAAAGUGGACAGGGGGGCUUCUCUAUCUUGUUGUCUAAUUUGGAAAUUUUCUUACCAUCACCACCACUACCACCACCACCAGCAACAAAAACAACAUCAAAGGUUUCACCAGCUCUUUCAACAUCACAGCUGGCUAAUUGGGGACGACGUCUCAUGGUUUGUGCAUUGAAGUGAAGUUGUAAUUCUUGUGGUACAGACAGAUACUUGUGGUAUUAAUUAGAAUUUGAAGAUGAUUGCAACAGCUUUUUCUUAAGACAGUUUGAAGUUGAGGUCCAAUUUGCAUUUUUAGUUAGUGAAGCUUGUAAGUCUUGAACUUGGAAUCAAAGCAGCAUUAGUAUCUAUAAAAGGAAAACAAACUACAUUGUGUUGUUGAAGUGGAAGGAUUACAAUCUCAGCAGAUUCUGUGAGUUCUUAGAUUAGAUUUGCAUAUAUAUUGAAGCUAAAAAUAUUUCCUAUUGCACGUGUGCACCAGCACAAUAACUAGUUUUGCGUGUUUUUGAGUUUUGAGGUUCUUGAAGUUUGGACAUUGCCCGAGAGAGGUGUCACUAAAUUGAAACCGUAGCAAAUCUCAACAAAUUGCAAUCUGCAUUGGUUCAAUCUGAUCUGGGGUGCUGGGAAUUGGGGCGGUUUGGUGACUUUUAAAUGAAUUUUGAACUUCCUGUGGUGAAUCGAAGAUUGUCGAAAGGUUUGAUUUAUUUGCAAGAUCAUUCUACAAGUUGCAGCAUUAUGGAUGUGAGAACAAGAAAGGUUUCUGCUACUCCUCUGGUUGAAGGAAAGAAAGUAGAAUAUCAUCAAAAUCAUCAUCAAGGAAAGAAUAUUGAAUUCCAACGCACUCUUUCACACGGUAAAGGAAGCAGCAGAAGAUUGUUGCCGGCAAAUUAUUUCAGCUUGGAGUCAUUGCUUUUACUAGUUUGCCUAACAGUGUCUUUGCUGAUCCUUCCUUUGAUACUUCCACCAUUGCCUCCACCACCUUUCAUGUUGCUGCUGCUUCCUAUUGGGAUUCUAGCAGUGCUGAUGGUUUUAGCUUUCAUGCCUUCUAAUGUGAGGGAUAUAACUUAUACUUAUGUGUAAAUGCUGUUAUAAACAUGCACAUCGCACCUCUUUCUUCUUACAAAUUUUGUAAUUCUCUUAAUGUUCAAAAGAAAAAGAUAAACGGUUCUUUCAUUUCUUA